GAUGAAGAACGUAGCGAAAUGCGAUAAGUAAUGUGAAUUGCAGAAUUCAGUGAAUCAUCGAGUCUUUGAACGCACAUUGCGCCCCCUGGUAUUCCGGGGGGCAUGCCUGUCCGAGCGUCAUUGCUGCCCUCAAGCACGGCUUGUGUGUUGGGCCCCCGUCCCCGGUUUCCCCCUGGGACGGGCCCGAAAGGCAGCGGCGGCACCGCGUCCGGUCCUCGAGCGUAUGGGGCUUUGUCACCCGCUCUGUAGGCCCGGCCGGCGCCAGCCGACACCCAACUUUAUUUCUAAGGUUGACCUCGGAUCAGGUAGGGAUACCCGCUGAACUUAAGCAUAUCAAUAAGCGGAGGA
rnacentral:misc_RNA from 1 species